rnacentral:rRNA from 1 species
AUUGAACGCUGGCGGCAGGCCUAACACAUGCAAGUCGAGCGGGGGAAGGUAGCUUGCUACCGGACCUAGCGGCGGACGGGUGAGUAAUGCUUAGGAAUCUGCCUAUUAGUGGGGGACAACAUCUCGAAAGGGAUGCUAAUACCGCAUACGUCCUACGGGAGAAAGCAGGGGAUCUUUGGACCUUGCGCUAAUAGAUGAGCCUAAGUCGGAUUAGCUAGUUGGUGGGGUAAAGGCCUACCAAGGCGACGAUCUGUAGCGGGUCUGAGAGGAUGAGCCGCCACACUGGGACUGGGACACGGCCCAGACUCCUACGGGAGGCAGCAGUGGGGAAUAUUGGACAAUGGGGGGAACCCUGAUCCAGCCAUGCCGCGUGUGUGAAGAAGGCCUUAUGGUUGUAAAGCACUUUAAGCGAGGAGGAGGCUACUUUAGUUAAUACCUAGAGAUAGUGGACGUUACUCGCAGAAUAAGCACCGGCUAACUCUGUGCCAGCCGCCGCCGUAA